AGGUCACAUAUCGCACCGUGUUUCUAUGUCUGUGAUGCGGAGUGUCUGAGAGGGUUCAUUGAGUCUCUGCUGAGAGUGGCAUCCCACAGAACUGCCCUCAUCUGCCAAGCUCUCGCUCUGGAAGGCUCGCAAAACUCCCACUAGUGAGAUUCAGCAUUCUUACUGAGGAUGGCUUGUUUCGAGGCUGAGGUCAGUAUGCACUGUUAGUUAUUGUUUCCGGUCCACCUGAAGGCUGUGAUCUCUGAGCUUGGGCCCAGGGAUGACAUGGAAACACAACCUGCUGAUCUCUGAACACAAGGCCGAGCAGUGAGCUAAAUCAGGGACGUGGAAGGGUGAAAGCAGGCCAUGUCGCGGGUUCCCACACC